CCAAUGUGAAAAAGUUUACAGUCCAAGUCAAAUAUGAUACAUGGAGCAGUUCAAACACAAGAAGAUCAUGUUUCAACUGCAGAGUCUACUUGUGGCCAUGUGCUAAGAGCUGUGCGCUACUUCCCAGUCUCAGACAUUGGCAAAUAUAAUAGAUAUAUGCCCCCCUUUUGGCACUCUUUGCGAGACAGUAAAUGAUAUGGUGCCAAACCAAUCUGCAGCUGGCCAUCAGUCUCUGCUAGGGAUGAACAGGGCUUCACUGGCUCAUAUAAACCACAAGCUGUAUGUCCAGCAAAGCAUUUCCCCUGGAUGGCAUGAACAUCUGGAAAUCAAGCCCAUCUUUAUUUCCAUAAGCUUUUAGCUUAGCUUUUUCAGGGUAACUUAGCCACUCAACAUUUGACCCUUCUCUCCAUCAUCAAUCUUGGGCAGUGCGGAACCUGGACCAUCAGACUCCUUUAGCAUGCCAGAGAUGAGGCUGGCCUCUAAUCACCAGGUCCCCAAGGAAGGGUCCUGAUUUCAGGACAAGAACCUGAUUAUCUUCUGGUCAGAUCAUUGGUGAGCCUGUAAUAAUAUACAACCCUCUAAAAAUCAGGUUAACAGAGUCAAGAGUAUUGGAUAUGAAUGUGGAAGAUCAAAUAGGGCAUUGGACCGUGGGUAGACUGUGCCAGUGAGGCCCAACCUGGCUUUGUGGAAGAUAGACGGGCCAUGCUACAGCACACGGAGAGCUCAACCUGUUUGACUCAUCCAGACUAACUCCAGGCCUCCAUGGGAAGAUAAUAAAGAGCUAAAGCUUGGCUACCACUUUAAUGGAUGCAGUGCAUUCUCUGCCUGCAGUUGGCCAGCUCUGGGUGGGAAGGGGGGGGCCUGGGGACCAAAGCUUUGUGUUCAGCCCACCUUGGAGAGCCUAGCACCACCCUGCAUGAUGUCUGUGCUCCCCAAGCACAUUGUGACAGGAGGGCAAGGAUCUUUAUGACCCUGUCACACCAUUGUACACCCACACAGGGCCAGCUCGAAUCUAGCUCAUACCGCAAACAAUUCAAUCAUAUAUUUGCUCAUUCAGACACACAAUAUAGGCUCACAGGACAUAUACAGCUGUACCUUAAUUGUAGCUAGUGCUACCUCCAUUGUUGCACAUUGCCUCAAUGUCAAACUUCUAGCUUCCUCUCGAGUGACGUGGUCCUGAAAAACAUGGUAAUAUCGUAGCUGUUAUAAGGAAAAGCAAGUCUUGCUGCUUCUCUUGCCUUUUUAAAAAACAUCUACAUUUGGCAAGGAUGCAUUCACCCUUCGACUUGUUUUUUAAAAUAAAUUACAACGCAAAGCUAUUCCAUUGUUUGUUGAAAAUGAGAAUUGAAAAGAAAAACUGAAAUUUAAUGCUAGGGUAUCUGUAAAGUGGUUUCCAAUUAUUUUGAAAAGACAAGUUGUUUCUCUGUUCUGUAAAGGAAAUUGAUUAAAUGUUAUAAAUGUGAUGAAUACUCAUGGAUGCCAUUAAAAUUCCAUGUUUUACUAAUGAAAUUUGACUGUAAAUUGGUGUUUGGCAGAAGCCCAAACUUAACCAAAAGUC